rnacentral:rRNA from 1 species
UUUUNAAAGGUUUAAUUUGGAAUUUAUUGGGGGGUAAAGGGCCAUGCAGGCGGGCCUGUUAAGUUCAGAUGUGAAAGCCCCGGGGGUUUAACCUCGGAAAUUGCAUUUGAAACUGGCAGGGUUAGAGUCUUGUAGAGGGGGGGUAGAAUUUUCAGGUGUAGCGGUGAAAUGCGUAGAGAUCUGAAGGAAUACCAGUGGCGAAGGCGGCCCCCUGGACAAAGACUGACGCUCAGAUGCGAAAGCGUGGGGAGCAAACAGGAUUAGAUACCCUGGUAGUCCACGCCGUAAACGAUGUCUACUUGGAGGUUGUGGCCUUGAGCCGUGGCUUUCGGAGCUAACGCGUUAAGUAGACCGCCUGGGGAGUACGGUCGCAAGAUUAAAACUCAAAUGAAUUGACGGGGGCCCGCACAAGCGGUGGAGCAUGUGGUUUAAUUCGAUGCAACGCGAAGAACCUUACCUACUCUUGACAUCCAGAGAAGCUUGAAGAGAUUCGAGUGUGCCUUCGGGAACUCUGAGACAGGUGCUGCAUGGCUGUCGUCAGCUCGUGUUGUGAAAUGUUGGGUUAAGUCCCGCAACGAGCGCAACCCUUAUCCUUGUUUGCCAGCACUUCGGGUGGGAACUCCAGGGAGACUGCCGGUGAUAAACCGGAGGAAGGUGGGGACGACGUCAAGUCAUCAUGGCCCUUACGAGUAGGGCUACACACGUGCUACAAUGGCAUAUACAGAGGGCAGCAAGACUGCGAGGUGGAGCGAAUCCCAGAAAGUAUGUCGUAGUCCGGAUCGGAGUCUGCAACUCGACUCCGUGAAGUCGGAAUCGCUAGUAAUCGUGGAUCAGAAUGCCACGGUGAAUACGUUCCCGGGCCUUGUACACACCGCCCGUCACACCAUGGGAGUGGGCUGCACCAGAAGUAGAUAGCUUAACCUUCGGGAGGGCGUUUAUUCACGGUGUGGUUCAUGACUGGGGUGAAGUCGUAACAAGGUAACCG